rnacentral:rRNA from 1 species
AUUGAACGCUGGCGGCAGGCCUAACACAUGCAAGUCGAGCGGAUGAAGGGAGCUUGCUCCUGGAUUCAGCGGCGGACGGGUGAGUAAUGCCUAGGAAUCUGCCUGGUAGUGGGGGAUAACGUCCGGAAACGGGCGCUAAUACCGCAUACGUCCUGAGGGAGAAAGUGGGGGAUCUUCGGACCUCACGCUAUCAGAUGAGCCUACGUCGGAUUAGCUAGUUGGUGGGGUAAAGGCCUACCAAGGCGACGAUCCGUAACUGGUCUGAGAGGAUGAUCAGUCACACUGGAACUGAGACACGGUCCAGACUCCUACGGGAGGCAGCAGUGGGGAAUAUUGGACAAUGGGCGAAAGCCUGAUCCAGCCAUGCCGCGUGUGUGAAGAAGGUCUUCGGAUUGUAAAGCACUUUAAGUUGGGAGGAAGGGCAGUAAGUUAAUACCUUGCUGUUUUGACGUUACCAACAGAAUAAGCACCGGCUAACUUCGUG